rnacentral:rRNA from 1 species
UACGUAGGGGGCAAGGCGUUGUCCGGAUUUAUUGGGCGUAAAGAGCGUGAGGCGGCAUGGGUAGGUCCGGCUGUGAAAACAUCGUGGCUUAACCCUCGAGACGUCGGGUGGAAACCAUCCAGCUAGAGUCCGGAAGAGGAGAGUGGAAUUCCUGGUGUAGCCGGUGAAAUGCGCAGAUAUCAGGAAGAACACCCGUGGCGAAAGCGGCUCUCUGGGACGGUACUGGACGCUGAGACGCGAAAGCGUGGGGAGCGAACAGG